GUUCUGGUGUAUAUAGGUUGUUUUUCUCUGUAUUUGUAAAUCUCGGUUGAGUUGUGAUUGAUGAUUGAUAUGUGUUCAAUCAUGGGUAAUGAACUGUGUUUAUUAAUGAGAUGUGUUUGAAACUGUAUCAUGAUUACUGAAGAGUCUUUAUGUGGGUUCGGAAUUGUUAUAUGUGGAUUCCGAUUAUCUCUUGCUUACACAUUUCCUUCUAGUUGGUCAUAUACGGACUUGUAUAUAUCGGUUGAGUUAUUCUUUGUUUAGUUGCUCAUUAGAUUGUUUAGAUUGGUAUUGGUUAUUUGUUUGGUAAUUUGAUAUGGGUUAUUCUUUGUUUGUCAUUCUUUGUGGAUCGGUUUAGUCAUUCAUAUAUGUGUGUAGGGUAAUAAAUGCAUAUGUGUGUAGAGUUUGAGUGUAGUUGUAAUUGUUCAUUGAUGGUUUAAAGCUUGUUGUGGUAAUUAUUUAUGGUAGAUAAAUGUCUAGUCGAUAGUAUUUAAGUCUAUGUGUUUAAUGAACUGAGUUGGUAAUUGUGUGAGCUGAAUUGUGUGUCUUGGUGUGUUUGAUAUUUAUGUGUUAAAGUCUUUCAGUCUAUGGGCUUAACCAAGUUUGUUUUCUCUUUGCAACAUGUGAGCUUCGUUUGGCAUAUGGGAGGUUCCCAAGGCACGGCUGAGAGGUUCGUUUGGCAACCAGAAUCUUUGAGUCUUGGCAUUACAAAAAAAGAUAAGUUUAAAGAUGUUUUCCAAGUGUUAAAGAUGUAUUCCAAGUGUACAAGUUAUCAAGGGUAUAUGUCGACAUUAUUGUGGUGGUGGAUGUCGACACUAAAGAGUGGGUGUGGUGUUUGUUACUUGAAGCAAUUUUGUUUAUUUCCUCUGUUUAAAUUGAGUCCACAAACUUGUUGUGGUAUAUGUCGAC